GGAAGGUCCGGGCGUUAUCCGGAUUUAUUGGGUUUAAAGGGAGCGUAGGCCGUGAGGUAAGCGUGUUGUGAAAUGUAGGCGCCCAACGUCUGCACUGCAGCGCGAACUGCCCCACUUGAGUGCGCGCAACGCCGGCGGAACUCGUCGUGUAGCGGUGAAAUGCUUAGAUAUGACGAAGAACCCCGAUUGCGAAGGCAGCUGGCGGGAGCGUAACUGACGCUGAAGCUCGAAAGCGCGGGUAUCGAACAGGAUUAGAUACCCUGGUAGUCCGCGCGGUAAACGAUGGAUGCCCGCUGUGGCGCGCCUGGCGUGCCGCGGCUAAGCGAAAGCAUUAAGCAUCCCACCUGGGGAGU
rnacentral:rRNA from 1 species